rnacentral:lncRNA from 1 species
AGAGAAGAAUUAACAUUGUGAAAAUGGACAUAAAGUUCUUAGAACGGACGUUCCUACCAAAUAUUAUCAAAACCGGAGCUCUUAGAAAUACCAAACAGUUGUUAGUAGAAUUCCAUGGAUCACCAGCGUUGGUGGACAAGUUACAAAUCCUUAGAAACAUAUAUAAUGAAGGCUUUAGAAAUUAUUGGUAUUGUAAAAAUCCUAAACAAGGGAAUUUAUUGCAAGGGAGAUUUGUCCAGAAGUCUGCCUUUUAUGAAGUAUAUUUUUUCUUCGCAUAUUGUGUUGUAUUAUUACAAGCUUACUAUGAUACAUGUAUCUAAAGUAUAAUUAAAGAACCCGAACAUUUUAGAUAGUUUUCAAACAUUUCAUUGACAACAACUCGAAGCAAUCUAUCGUAUA